GACGAACGCUGGCGGCGUGCCUAACACAUGCAAGUCGGGCUGAAAGGCCCUUCGGGGUACUCGAGCGGCGAACGGGUGAGUAACACGUGAGUAACCUGCCCCAGACUUUGGGAUAACCCUCGGAAACGGGGGCUAAUACCGGAUACGACACAGCUUCGCAUGGGGUCUGUGUGGAAAGUUUUUCGGUGUGGGAUGGGCUCGCGGCCUAUCAGCUUGUUGGUGGGGUGAUGGCCUACCAAGGCGACGACUGGUAGCCGGCCUGAGAGGGCGACCGGCCACACUGGGACUGAGACACGGACCAGUCUCCUACGGGAGGCAGUAGUGGGGAAUAUUGCACAAUGGGCGGAAGCCUGAUGCAGCGACGCCGCGUGAGUGAUGACGGCUUUCGGGUUGUAAACCUCUUUCAGCAGGGACGAAGCGUAAGUGACGGUACCUGCAGAAGAAGCGCCGGCCAACUACGUG
rnacentral:rRNA from 1 species